AGAAGAAGGCAAGUUCGCUUGUCUACAUAAAGCCCUAAGGAACAAAGUCCCCUUCCGACUUCUACUACCGUCCCUUUCACUGGGCGGCUAAGGAACUGAGGCCAAAGGACCAAGAUGACCAUUUCCCUACCCAAUCAACAGCUUCACUCCACCAUGACCAAGACAAAGGCCCCUUUGGCUCUUUCAGGGAAAAGAAGAGGUUGUGGCAAGUCUCUUAUAAUUGACAGUCUGCAGAAAUGAUACCUGAAAAUAUAACCUCGUUUCCCAUCAUUGAAAGACCUCAUCUCAAGUUUCAUGGAAUAGAUUUGGCUUUUGACUGGACUUCACUGGAUGGUGCUGGCGAAGGUGGGGAUGGGCAGGGAGAACACACACUGAAAACACCCACAAAACAGGAGCCAGGCGUUGCUGAAUUAGAAGCUGUUUUCAGCCUGGAUGUAUUUAGAUCCUGGAGAGGGACAGAAAGGCCAGAGAAGAGUAAGAAAGAAAUUCUGCUCCAAUAGCAGGGACAAGUGGUAGAGGGACUCUGAGCCCUGGCCUCUGGGCACACCUGUGGUGGCAUUCCCACUACCUUUUCAGGUGACAUCCAGUUCCUCCCACUCCUAUAUGAGCAAACAUCAGUGUCACUCGUGCAGGGAUG